UGUGUGUGUGUGUGUGUGUGAGCGUGUGUGUGUGCGUUUGUCAAAGUGACAUAUGGGGACAUUUUUAUGAAAUUUCACCUUACAUAUGAGGACCUGUUGAAAUAUGGGGACAUUUUCCAUGUCCCCAUAUUUCCCGCAAUGCUAUCGUGUUCUAGACCCUCCCAGCAUGUUCCCAGACCAAAAAUCUCUAAAGUCUUCAUUUGUCAAAUUUUCAGAAAAAGUGUGUGAAAGUGUGUUUAAUUUUUUUGGUCACCUUCGAUUUUGCCCCUAGUGGCCAUCUUUGCUAUUAUGACACACACACACACACACUUGUCCUCAUAUGUCAUAUGUCCUCAUAUGUCAUGUGGGUCAGAAACUCACACACUCCGACAUUUUGAAAAACAUCUAACCAUUACAGCAAUAAACAUACUCUUGAAUUCUGAAUCAAAUAACAACACAUUUUCAACUGAUCUGAUGAUCUCAUCCUUUUUAGUGUUAGUUUUAUCUAUUAAUUUGGUUUAUCUGGAGAGGAUUUGGGCUAGACAAUUAGUAAUAAAGGGAUUAUGGUGAUGAUUUAAUUUGUUUGAUUCAGUAUUUUACUGUAUUGGACUUUUUGCUAUUCUGUUGACUAAAAUACAAUGCCGCACAAUAAUUGCUUUAAAUGUGCCUGAAAUGUAGGUUUUUGCAUAAAAAAAAACAACCUUCAACCUUGAUUGAGACAAAGGCAAUAAUUCAAAUGCAAUUCAAACUACACACAGUAUUUAAUAUUUUCAAAUGGUUACAAUAGCACAUUAUUUGGGUAUUUUUAUCUUUGGGGCAAAUUUAGGAUUAAUAUGGGGAUUGUUUUUGGAGGUAUUCACUUUACAUGGUGUUCAAGAUGGUUACUUCCGCCCACUCUGAAGAGUCUCGGCGUCUGAUUGGUCCAAUUUUCAGUUAGGCGCCGCCUGAUUGGCCGCUGGACGAUGUCUGCUCCUAACAGAGGCCUAAAUCACUAGUUAACUAUUUUCAUCAUGGAAGUUAUACAGCUCACGUAUCACACUUAAUAUUGAAUAUAUAUAAAAAGGGUUUUCCAAAAGGACCAUUUAUAAUCGAAAUACAAAACUUCACACACGAUUUUGAGCACAACAGAGCGCUCAGUGAACAGCACUUCCGGGACCUGCAUCACCAGAGGGGGACAUCUAUCUUGGCCACAAACCAUCUUUGACAGUCUUCGGCAGCAUGGUUGAAUCAGGUGAGCAUAAAAUGGAGUUUAACGUAAUUAAAUAGACCAAUGUUUUUUAACAUAGGAAAAUAGUUCAUUGUAAACAACAGUUAAAUGUUUGUUGUUCUUAAUUGCAAUCAGAUUUGAUUUUAUGAGGUCAAAUUAAGCAUUUCAGUUCUGGGCCAAGGCCAAGGCAUUUAAAUUUUUUUUUUUAAAGUUGCAUGGAAGAUUAUAAGUAGCAGUGAUUGUCACACACACACUAGGUGUGGUGAAAUUAUUCUCUGCAUUUGACCCAUCACCCUUGAUCACUAUGCUAGUAAACCUUUUCUUAAUUUUAAACAAGACAGACUAGAGUUCUUCAAAUUGUUUAUACUUUUUCUCAAAUACAAAUAUGUCAAGCUGAUAAGCACUGUGGAGUUGGCAUGUUACUGAUAUUGUUACAUUAGUUCUUUGUUUGAGAAGCUUCAUGUCUGCACUGAUCGUAAAUUUAACAGUUUUUGAAGGGUUUGGUUCUUUGUUUUAUUUCUGUGUCACUGAGUUUUUUCAUUUUUAUGUGUGGAUUUGUUAGGCGCAUCAACACAUGAUAUAGACAUCGUGCCCAAAAGAAGAGCGAGACGUAAUCCUGAGGCUGAAGCUACCGAGUUUAUUUGAUCUGGAUGUGACAAGUCUUGUUUUAAGGCCCAGUGGAUCAAUGAUUGGAAAGACACCAACUGUUGAUGUUCUAUCUCAACAUUCUCCAGACUCAUGUGACCGAUAAACCGACUUCAUCCCUCCAACAGACACCAACUGUUGGGGUUCUAUCUCAACAUUCUCCAGAUUCAGAUGUGAGCGAUAAACCGACUUCAUCCCUCCAACAGACACCAACUGUUGGGGUUCUAUCUCAACAUUCUCCAGAUUCAGAUGUGAGCGAUAAACCGACUUCAUCCCUCCAACAGAAACCAACUGUUGAGGUUCCAUCUCAACAUUCUCCAGAUUCAGAUGUGAGCCAUUAACUGACUUCAUCCCUCCAACAGAAACCAACUGUUGAGGUUCUAUCUCAACAUUCUCUAGAUUCAGAUGACAGCCAUAAACCGACUUCAUCCCUCCAACAGAUUGACAGCAGGACAAAUCGCUGGAAGUAGGUAUGUCUCAAGCUUCUUCCACUUGGUCCACUCCAAAGCGGGCUGCAAAGGGGAAGAAGUGGAAGCAGUUGAAUGACACAUGUUGCAUUUUGUAACUGGCAACAAAGUACCAGGUAAAAAAGAUUGUGAAGCCUGCCUCCAUAAAGAACUAGUAGCUCUACAGGACAGAGAUUGGCUUGCCAUCAAGUACUACAUCCAUAACAGAAUUAUAUUAAAAAAAGGGGAAAAAAAUGUUUUCCCACAUCUUCUGUGGUAGUUUGAGUAUGUUACCAGCAAUUAAAAAAGCAAAAUAAA